CACCUACGGGGGGCAGCAGUAGGGAAUCUUCCACAAUGGACGAAAGUCUGAUGGAGCAACGCCGCGUGAGUGAAGAAGGGUUUCGGCUCGUAAAGCUCUGUUGGUAGUGAAGAAAGAUAGAGGUAGUAACUGGCCUUUAUUUGACGGUAAUUACUUAGAAAGUCACGGCUAACUACGUGCCAGCAGCCGCGGUAAUACGUAGGUGGCAAGCGUUAUCCGGAUUUAUUGGGCGUAAAGCGAGCGCAGGCGGUUGCUUUGGUCUGAUGUGAAAGGCUUCGGGU
rnacentral:rRNA from 1 species